CCUCCUGGGUUCAAGUGAUUCUCCUGCCUCAGCCUCCUGUGUAGCUGGGAUUACAGGUACAUGCCACCAUGCUCGGCUAAUUUCUGUAUUUUUUUUUUAGUAGAGAUGGGAUUUCACCAUGUUGGCCAGGCUGGUCACAAACUCCUGACCUCAAAUCAUCUGUCCACCUUGGCCUCCCAAAGUGCUGGGAUUACAGGUGUGAGCCACCACACCCAGCCAAGCCAGUGCUCUCUUUACAGCCAGGGCUGCCUCCCUCACACACCUGGCCAAAGGGCCGGCAGCAUCUGCACUCAAGUGAAGAGAUCUAAGCACCUUUGAGCCCCGGAGCAGCAGGCGGAGCUGCCACCAGCAUGGGGCCUUUCAUGCAGGGGAUCCCGCAGCCCUUCUCCUUCCCCUUCCUCCUCCCUUGACAAUGUGUUCAGGCCUCCCACGGCCUUUGGCAUCAAGAAAUUCCAAUGGAUGUUAACCAGCCUAGUAAUUUAGUACAGCGUUAGCACCGAGUCACAAGGUUGAGGACAUGCACCCAUGACACACCCUCAGGAGGUUCUGACACACCCUCAGGAGGUUCUGACACACCCUCAGGAGGUUCUGAGCACAAGGUUCUUGUGCCCAAGGUGGUCAGAGCACAGCUUGGUUUUAUACCUUUUGGGGAGACAGGAGCCAUCAGUCAACACAUGUAAAAUGAACAUUGGUUCGGUCUGGAAAGGCAGGACAACUUGAAGCAGUCAGGGGGCUUCCAGAUCACAGAUACGUGAGAGAAAAACGGUGCUAUUUCCAAAUAUUUCCAAAGUACUCUCUUUUUCAGCUACUCACCAGGAAGAAAGUAAAUGCCUGUCAGACAUGGUUACUAAUCUCCUCCUGUGGGUGGGAUGAAAAGGAACUUACUGCUGAUUGGCUGGGGGUGAGUACCUGGCCAAUCAGGUGCUCACCCUCACCUGGUCUCAGAUUCCUCUUUGGCAAAUGAGGGAAUCAAUUCUCUAUCAAGGGGUAGCAAGUUCAAAUGCUCAGGGGGCAAGUCAGGUAACACAACCCAGUGAAGCCGGUAUGAUGUUUGUAUAUGAGGUACUUAAGAGCCUCACUUUCCUAAGUAAAUAUGCUUUCUCCUAUUUUUCUUGAAAUGCAUACCAGUGCCAGUCUGUUUCUCUUUAUCCCAAUUUUGAGAAAAACGUAUGUAUAAAAGAUACAUUUUUAGGCCAGGCGUGGUGGCUUAUACCUUUAAUCCAGAACUUUGGGAGGC
rnacentral:lncRNA from 1 species